rnacentral:tRNA from 1 species
ACAGUGGUCAUUCAGAGGUAGAAUUCCCGCCUUCCGUGCGGGAGACCUGGGUUAGAUUCCAGCAGAUGCA